rnacentral:lncRNA from 1 species
AGCGAUGCUAUAUAGUGCGAAUCCGGUUCCACGAAAUUUCACGAAUGCUUACAUUUACUUUUUUUCAUGUGCGCAACAUUUGUUAUCUCACUCUUUUUUCCCUUCUAAAAGAUUUAAUAAUUAAUUAAAUUAAAUAUAAAAGGAGAAGAGCACCGUUCCAUCCAGUUCAGUAUCUAACCAAUGAAUCAGUAUUUAUCAACAACAAAAAAAAGAAAUUAAGAACCAGUGUUAUGGUCCUUACCUCUACCAUCAAUGCUGAUUCAUAAUUUCAUAUAAAUGAAAGUGACACAAUUUGUUUAUCACUACUUUGCGCCUAUGCAAAAGACAAGACAAUAAACUCCAUGAAACUCAUUCUGUUUUAUGUAUGAAAUUCUCAAUCCAUAAGUAUUAUUACUUGAGCUAUCUAAUAGCCAUCCAAG